AGGCUCGAAACAGGCAUUCAAGGUGCCUUUGGAAAGCCCCAGGGCACUGUGGCCAGGGUUCACAUUGGCCAAGUUAAGUCCAUCUGCACCAAGCUGCAGAACAAGGAGCAUGUGAUUGAGGCGCCAUGCAGGGCCAAGUUCAAGUUCCCUGGCCACCAGAAGAUCCACAUCUCCAAGAAGUGGGGCUUUACCAAGUUCAAUGUGGAUGAAUGAGAAGACAUAGUGGCUGAGAAGCAGCUCAUCCCAGAUAGCUGCAGGGUCAAGUACAUCCCCAGUCAUGGCCCUCUGGACAAGUGGCAGGUCCGGCAC
rnacentral:lncRNA from 1 species